rnacentral:rRNA from 1 species
GGUUAAGCGACUAAGCGUACACGGUGGAUGCCCUGGCAGUCAGAGGCGAUGAAGGACGUGCUAAUCUGCGAAAAGCGCCGGCGAGGUGAUAUGAACCUUUGACCCGGCGAUGUCCGAAUGGGGAAACCCAGUGCAAUUCGUUGCACUAUCGUUAACUGAAUACAUAGGUUAACGAGGCGAACCGGGGGAACUGAAACAUCUAAGUACCCCGAGGAAAAGAAAUCAACCGAGAUUCCCCCAGUAGCGGCGAGCGAACGGGGAGCAGCCCGGAGUCUGAAUCAGCUUGUGUGUUAGUGGAACGGUCUGGAAAGUCCGACGGUACAGGGUGAUAGUCCCGUACACGAAAGCACACAUGCUGUGAACUCGAAGAGUAGGGCGGGACACGUGGUAUCCUGUCUGAAUAUGGGGGGACCAUCCUCCAAGGCUAAAUACUCCUGACUGACCGAUAGUGAACCAGUACCGUGAGGGAAAGGCGAAAAGAACCCCGGCGAGGGGAGUGAAAAAGAACCUGAAACCGUGUACGUACAAGCAGUGGGAGCCUCUUUAUGGGGUGACUGCGUACCUUUUGUAUAAUGGGUCAGCGACUUAUAUUCUGUAGCAAGGUUAACCGUAUAGGGGAGCCGAAGGGAAACCGAGUCUUAACUGGGCGUUAAGUUGCAGGGUAUAGACCCGAAACCCGGUGAUCUAGCCAUGGGCAGGUUGAAGGUUGGGUAACACUAACUGGAGGACCGAACCGACUAAUGUUGAAAAAUUAGCGGAUGACCUGUGGCUGGGGGUGAAAGGCCAAUCAAACCGGGAGAUAGCUGGUUCUCCCCGAAAGCUAUUUAGGUAGCGCCUCGUGAACUCAUCUUCGGGGGUAGAGCACUGUUUCGGCUAGGGGGCCAUCCCGGCUUACCAACCCGAUGCAAACUACGAAUACCGAAGAAUGUUAUCACGGGAGACACACGGCGGGUGCUAACGUCCGUCGUGAAGAGGGAAACAACCCAGACCGCCAGCUAAGGUCCCAAAGUCAUGGUUAAGUGGGAAACGAUGUGGGAAGGCACAGACAGCCAGGAUGUUGGCUUAGAAGCAGCCAUCAUUUAAAGAAAGCGUAAUAGCUCACUGGUCGAGUCGGCCUGCGCGGAAGAUGUAACGGGGCUAAACCAUGCACCGAAGCUGCGGCAGCGACGCUUAUGCGUUGUUGGGUAGGGGAGCGUUCUGUAAGCCGUUGAAGGUGGCCUGUGAGGGUUGCUGGAGGUAUCAGAAGUGCGAAUGCUGACAUAAGUAACGAUAAAGCGGGUGAAAAGCCCGCUCGCCGGAAGACCAAGGGUUCCUGUCCAACGUUAAUCGGGGCAGGGUGAGUCGACCCCUAAGGCGAGGCCGAAAGGCGUAGUCGAUGGGAAACAGGUUAAUAUUCCUGUACUUGGUGUUACUGCGAAGGGGGGACGGAGAAGGCUAUGUCAGCCGGGCGACGGUUGUCCCGGUUUAAGCAUGUAGGCGGAGGUUCCAGGUAAAUCCGGUACCUUGUUAACGCUGAGGUGUGAUGACGAGGCACUACGGUGCUGAAGUGAUAAAUGCCCUGCUUCCAGGAAAAGCCUCUAAGCAUCAGGUAACACGAAAUCGUACCCCAAACCGACACAGGUGGUCAGGUAGAGAAUACCAAGGCGCUUGAGAGAACUCGGGUGAAGGAACUAGGCAAAAUGGUGCCGUAACUUCGGGAGAAGGCACGCUGAUAUGUAGGUGAAGCCCCUGCGGGCGGAGCUGAAAUCAGUCGAAGAUACCAGCUGGCUGCAACUGUUUAUUAAAAACACAGCACUGUGCAAACACGAAAGUGGACGUAUACGGUGUGACGCCUGCCCGGUGCCGGAAGGUUAAUUGAUGGGGUUAGCUGUAAGGCGAAGCUCUUGAUCGAAGCCCCGGUAAACGGCGGCCGUAACUAUAACGGUCCUAAGGUAGCGAAAUUCCUUGUCGGGUAAGUUCCGACCUGCACGAAUGGCGUAAUGAUGGCCAGGCUGUCUCCACCCGAGACUCAGUGAAAUUGAACUCGCUGUGAAGAUGCAGUGUACCCGCGGCAAGACGGAAAGACCCCGUGAACCUUUACUAUAGCUUGACACUGAACACUGGUCCUUGAUGUGUAGGAUAGGUGGGAGGCUUUGAAGCGUGGACGCCAGUCUGCGUGGAGCCAACCUUGAAAUACCACCCUUUAAUGGCUGGUGUUCUAACGUAGACCCGUAAUCCGGGUUGCGGACAGUGUCUGGUGGGUAGUUUGACUGGGGCGGUCUCCUCCCAAAGAGUAACGGAGGAGCACGAAGGUUGGCUAAUCCUGGUCGGACAUCAGGAGGUUAGUGCAAUGGCAUAAGCCAGCUUGACUGCGAGCGUGACGGCGCGAGCAGGUGCGAAAGCAGGUCAUAGUGAUCCGGUGGUUCUGAAUGGAAGGGCCAUCGCUCAACGGAUAAAAGGUACUCCGGGGAUAACAGGCUGAUACCGCCCAAGAGUUCAUAUCGACGGCGGUGUUUGGCACCUCGAUGUCGGCUCAUCACAUCCUGGGGCUGAAGUAGGUCCCAAGGGUAUGGCUGUUCGCCAUUUAAAGUGGUACGCGAGCUGGGUUUAGAACGUCGUGAGACAGUUCGGUCCCUAUCUGCCGUGGGCGCUGGAGAAUUGAGGGGGGCUGCUCCUAGUACGAGAGGACCGGAGUGGACGCAUCACUGGUGUUCGGGUUGUCAUGCCAAUGGCACUGCCCGGUAGCUAAAUGCGGAAGAGAUAAGUGCUGAAAGCAUCUAAGCACGAAACUUGCCCCGAGAUGAGUUCUCCCUGAGACUUUAAGUCUCCUGAAGGAACGUUGAAGACGACGACGUUGAUAGGUCGGGUGUGUAAGCGCAGCGAUGCGUUGAGCUAACCGAUACUAAUGAACCGUGAGGCUUAACCUU